GUAAUUCCAUUUUAGGAGCGCGCUUCCUGAAAAAUGAAAAAAUUCAGGAGCCCGCUAUUCUGCAUUUUCCAAUUUCAUUAUCCCACUGCAACCUCUCACAAUACCUACUCUCGUAAAAUUUCUCUCAGCUCUUGCAAAUUCUCUCUAGUGCGACUUCAUCUCCUUCCGAUUUGUUGAUUUCUCUGUUCCUGCAGAUCUCUUCACCUUCUUGCGAUUACCCCUCUUUCAAUUUUCUAGGGAAGAAAUUGUUAUUCCUCGAUUCCACUCAGAUUCAGUUCACUUCUUUACCUGUUUUAGCUACUGAAUCAGAAACUUGACGAGGAAGGAUUUUACACGAGUUCAUUGCCUUUUCAGUUUCAGAAGCAAAACCACCUAGUGUCGUUAGAAGCACGAAUACUGACGCGUUGGAGAGGUUUGGUAUUCGUGAAGAACAAAAGUUUCAAUUCCUUGGAAAACAAAGAAGACUGGUCAAGAAAGGAAUGUGUAGCUGUACCAUUACCAAACAAUAGUGUUUCGAGGAUCGACAUGCCUUUGAACUUCAGUGUGCCCCUGAAAUCUCUCACAUUUCCACAUCCGAAUGAGUUCUCAGCUCCAACAUCUGCCUGUGAACCUCCUGGUCCUCCCCGUAUAUAUUUCUUUUCCCUGUUAGAUGGCAUGACUUGGAUUCAAAUGUCAAUACAUGUCUUUUUUCUGAAAUGCAUGUUGACUGUACCUCUUACAGCUUACUGUCCCAAAUGUGAGCAGCCCCUUUCAACUUCUUUGAUGCAUUCUAAGUAACUACCUGGGCAGCAUUGUUCUCAUAAGUUAGCACAGAACUUCUGGUUCGCACUCACUGAAGUACAUAGCAAGCUAUCUUAACUUUUCUUCUUCUCUUCAAAAAUUAAAUCUGCAGGUUUAUUGUGUACUUAUUAGUUCAAUCUUGUUGGUAUAUUUAUCUAUUGUUAUGACUUGUCAUAAACUGUUGGUUAUUUUAUUGUCCAAGAAAUUUUCUAUUGUCGGCAUGGAGUAAGGUCUUUGCAGUGGUUGCGAGGUGUUGUCUUGCUAGCAGGUGCAUACACGCGAGUGAUGGUUGUAUUCUUGUAAUUUGCUAUAAUUGCGGUUAUUGCAUCAGGUUGGGCAAAAGAGUGAAUGUUUGUGUAUUUAUGUGUUCUAUACUUCUAUGUGUAAAUGAUACUCUGUAAUGACUAUCACUUCAGGUCUGUGAGUUUGCCACCUUGUGAAGCCACGUGGGAGGAAGCCUCUGGAGGUUUAUAGCAAACUCCACAGAAAGGAGCAAGCACAAGCACCUACAGUAGGCACAAAGUAUAGCUGAAUGGGUGAAGAGUUACCGUUAUCCACUAGAGGACAAGAAGAGAAGCAGAUGGCAAUUAAUCAAAUUCUACUUAGUAGAAUAACCUAGUGCAUAAAUAGCAGAGAAAAAGAAAGAGAAAGGCAUUGUGGAAUUUGUAUUGUCUUUGGAUAUUAGAAACCUAAAGUUACUUGUUUGGGAAUUAUAGCCUCAAGCUAUCUGUUUGUACUGUACUUACCUUUGGAUAUUUGACGAAUUAAAGCUACAACAUUUCUCUAUCUUUAUGUAGUGUUUUGUAUUUGUGUUG